AACGAACGCUGGCGGCAGGCCUAACACAUGCAAGUCGAGCGAGGACUUCGGUUCUAGCGGCGGACGGGUGAGUAACGCGUGGGAAUGUGCCCUUCUCUACGGAAUAGCCCUGGGAAACUGGGAGUAAUACCGUAUACGCCCUUUUGGGGAAAGAUUUAUCGGAGAAGGAUCAGCCCGCGUUGGAUUAGGUAGUUGGUGGGGUAAUGGCCUACCAAGCCGACGAGCCAUAGCUGGUUUGAGAGGAUGAUCAGCCACACUGGGACUGAGACACGGCCCAGACUCCUACGGGAGGCAGCAGUGGGGAAUCUUAGACAAUGGGGGCAACCCUGAUCUAGCCAUGCCGCGUGAGUGAUGAAGGCCUUAGGGUUGUAAAGCUCUCUCAGCUGGGAAGAUAAUGACGGUACCAGCAGAAGAAGCCCCGGCUAACUACGUG
rnacentral:rRNA from 1 species